CCAUUCGGAGGUAUUACCAAUAUGAGGCGGGCUGGACCUCUCGGGGUUACAGCCUUGCUGAAUUAUUCACCCUUGUCUUUUGCGUACUUCUUGUUUCCUUGGUGGGUUCGCCCACCACUAGGACAAACAUAAACCUUUUGUAAUUGCAAUCAGCGUCAGUAACAAAUUAAUAAUUACAACUUUCAACAACGGAUCUCUUGGUUCUGGCAUCGAUGAAGAACGCAGCGAAAUGCGAUAAGUAGUGUGAAUUGCAGAAUUCAGUGAAUCAUCGAAUCUUUGAACGCACAUUGCGCCCUUUGGUAUUCCAAAGGGCAUGCCUGUUCGAGCGUCAUUUGUACCCUCAAGCUUUGCUUGGUGUUGGGCGUCUUGUCUCUAGCUUUGCUGGAGACUCGCCUUAAAGUAAUUGGCAGCCGGCCUACUGGUUUCGGAGCGCAGCACAAGUCGCACUCUCUAUCAGCAAAGGUCUAGCAUCCAUUAAGCCUUUUUUUCAACUUUUGACCUCGGAUCAGGUAGGGAUACCCGCUGAACUUAAGCAUAUCAAUAAGCGGAGGAAUA
rnacentral:rRNA from 1 species